ACAGCAGCCGCCGCGGGAAUACGUAGGGUGCGAGCGUUAAUCGGAAUUACUGGGCGUAAAGCGUGCGCAGGCGGUUCGUUAAGACAGAUGUGAAAUCCCCGGGCUUAACCUGGGAACUGCAUUUGUGACUGACGGGCUAGAGUAUGGCAGAGGGGGGUAGAAUUCCACGUGUAGCAGUGAAAUGCGUAGAGAUGUGGAGGAAUACCGAUGGCGAAGGCAGCCCCCUGGGCCAAUACUGACGCUCAUGCACGAAAGCGUGGGGAGCAAACAGGAUUAGAUACCCCCGUAGUCCCUGUCUCUUAUAC
rnacentral:rRNA from 1 species